AGCCUAAUCCUAGCCCGGCCACUCGNNNNNCAACCAAAAACUUACUACACUCUCAAAAUCAAAACAUUUUUCCCAGGCCUAGUAUAGGUGAUAGAAAAGUAUCACUUCCGGCGCGAUAGAAAUCUGUACCGUAAGGGAAAGAUGAAAUAAUAAUGAAAAACAAAGCAAGAAGCAGCAAAGAUUAACACUUGUACCUCUUGCAUCAUGAUUUAGUAAGAACAACCGAGCAAAAUGAAUUUAAGUUCGCCGCCCCGAAACCUAAGCGAGCUACCUGUGAGCAGCUAUCUUUUUGAGCGAACCCGUCUCUGUUGCAAAAGAGUGGGAUGACUCACUGGUAGAGGUGAAAAGCCAAUCGAGCUAGGUGAUAGCUGGUUGUCUGCGAAACGAAUCUAAGUUCCACCUUAAUUCUCUCCACAUGGGUAUCUAUCUCAACCUUCAAUGCAGUGAAUUAAGAGUCAUCUAAAGGGGGUACAGCCCCUUUAAAAAAGAAUACACUCUCCAUUAGUGGAUAAAUACUCUCUUUUCACUAGUAGGCCUUUAAGCAGCCACCAACAAAGAGUGCGUCAAAGCUCCCCAUAAAAAAAUAUAAAAACAACAUGACUCCCUUCCCACUAGCAGACUAACCUAUGAUAAUAGAAGAAUUAAUACUAAAAUGAGUAACUAGGGAACACCUCUUAAGCGCAAACUUAUAUUUCCUUAAUUAUUAACAAAUUUUAACUAGAUACUUCGACCACACCAAGACUUAAGUAUCAACUUAUUCUGUUAACCCAACCCAGGAGCGCCUAUUAGAAAGAUUAACAUCUGUAAAAGGAACUAGGCAAACUCAAGGCCCGACUGUUUACCAAAAACAUAGCCUUCAGCAGAUCAAGUAUUGAAGGUGAUGCCUGCCCAGUGACAUUACGUUCAACGGCCGCGGUAUCCUAACCGUGCGAAGGUAGCGCAAUCAAUUGUCUCAUAAAUCGAGACACGUAUGAAUGGCUAAACGAGGUCUUAACUGUCUCUUACGGAUAAUCAGUGAAAUUGAUCAUCCUGUGCAAAAGCAGGAAUGAAUACAUAAGACGAGAAGACCCUGUGGAACUUAAAAAUCAAUGGCCAUCAUACACACAUAAAUCCCUACGAGGCAUAUGCUAUUAGCCGCUGGCCCACAUUUUUCGGUUGGGGCGACCUUGGAGAAAAAUAAAUCCUCCAAAGAUAAGACCUAUUAUCUUAACCAAGAACAACCCCUCAACGUACUAACAGGAACCAGACCCAAUAUAUUUGAUCAAUGGACCAAGCUACCCCAGGGAUAACAGCGCAAUCUCCUCCAAGAGCCCCUAUCGACGAGGAGGUUUACGACCUCGAUGUUGGAUCAGGACAUCCUAAUGGUGCAGCCGCUAUUAAGGGUUCGUUUGUUCAACGAUUAACAGUCCUACGUGAUCUGAGUUCAGACCGGAGCAAUCCAGGUCGGUUUCUAUCUAUGAUGAACUUAUCCUAGUACGAAAGGACCGGAAAAGUAGGGCCAAUACUUCAAGCACGCCCUAUCUACAAGCAAUGAAUCCAACUAAAUUACUAAAAGCACACCCACAUAACUUUAUCCUAGAAAAGGACA
rnacentral:rRNA from 1 species